CUUGAUCGAGCCCAGCAGCAGUGGGCGUUCGCGCUCCUGCCCGUAGGUGGCCAGCAGUGCCUGUGCCUC
rnacentral:antisense_RNA from 1 species